GUCCUCGUCGUUCAAUGGAUAGGACGGAGGUUUCCUAAACCUUAAAUCCAAGUUCGACUCUUGGCGGGGACA
rnacentral:tRNA from 1 species